AAACCAGAUCACCAAGAGUGUGGUAUUGGCAGAAGUGGGUGGGACUAUAAGGGCCCCUCCCACUCUGCUGGAAUGAAUAGGCUGGAAAAGUAGAUCAUAGCAACAGACUUUCAGAGUAUUUUGAAAUGCUGAAUUAGUUUGAAGCUGAUCGGAACCCAGGCCAUUAGACCCCUAUCCUGUGUAAAGCAGUAA
rnacentral:misc_RNA from 1 species